AGUGAACGCUGGCGGUAGGCCUAACACAUGCAAGUCGAACGGCAGCACAGUAAGAGCUUGCUCUUACGGGUGGCGAGUGGCGGACGGGUGAGGAAUACAUCGGAAUCUACUUUUUCGUGGGGGAUAACGUAGGGAAACUUACGCUAAUACCGCAUACGACCUACGGGUGAAAGCAGGGGCUCUUCGGACCUUGCGCGACUGAAUGAGCCGAUGUCGGAUUAGUUAGUUGGCGGGGUAAAGGCCCACCAAGGCGACGAUCCGUAGCUGGUCUGAGAGGAUGAUCAGCCACACUGGAACUGAGACACGGUCCAGACUCCUACGGGAGGCAGCAGUGGGGAAUAGUGGACGAUGGGCGCAAGCCUGAUCCAGCCAUGCCGCGUGGGUGAAGAAGGCCUUCGGGUUGUAAAACCCUUUUGUUGGGAAAGAAAAGCAGCAGGUUAAUACCCCACUGUUCUGACGGUACCCAAAGAAUAAGCACCGGCUAACUUCGUG
rnacentral:rRNA from 1 species